rnacentral:rRNA from 1 species
GAUGAACGCUAGCGGCAGGCCUAAUACAUGCAAGUCGAACGGUGUAGCAAUACACAGUGGCGCACGGGUGCGUAACACGUAUGCAACCUACCUUACAUUGGGGGAUAGCCUUUCGAAAGGGAGAUUAAUACCGCAUAAGACAGUAACUGGGCAUCCAGUAGCUGUUAAAGAUUUAUCGAUGUAAGCUGGGCAUGCGUCCAAUUAGUUAGUUGGCGAGGUAAUGGCUCACCAAGACGAUGAUUGGUAGGGGAACUGAGAGGUCAAUCCCCCACACUGGCACUGAGAUACGGGCCAGACGCCUACGGGAGGCAGCAGUAGGGAAUAUUGGGCAAUGGGCGCAAGCCUGACCCAGCCAUGCCGCGUGCAGGAAGAAGGCGUUAUGCGUUGUAAACUGCUUUUAUACAGGAAGAAACGACCCUUGCGAGGGGCAUUGACGGUACUGUAUGAAUAAGCACCGGCUAACUCCGUGCCAGCCGCCGCAGUAAAAC